GAAAUCAUCCACAUUUCACUGGGGGCAGAGUGCAAAGACAUUCCUGCACUUAAGAAAUCCAUCCAGUCAGAAUUUAUACCUAGCCUGCCCUCGACUACAGUUCUUUUCAUAAUGUUACGACUACGUGGUACUGACCAAUAAUCUCAGUUGACGGGCACCCAUUAACUUUGUAACAUGCCUAUGAUGACAUGGCCAGACACUCGCAAAGGGUAAUAGUACUUCUGUGCCUGAGAUAGCACACUCUUAUGCCAGUGAUCACUCGGGAAGCCAGCAACUGCUACUUCCUGUCCCUCAGUUGCACAUAUUUAAGAUUGGAAACACACCACGGUUGCCCAGUGGCUAUAGCCUUGUGCUACUGAGUGCAAGGUUUCUGCUUCAAUCCUAGCUAUGGCGGCUGCAUCCCGAUGGGGGCGGAGUGCAGAAACGCCCUUGUACAGUGCCUUGGAUGCACGUUAAAAAAAACCUCAGGUGGCCAAAAUUUUGAAAGCUCCACUACAGCGUCCCUCAUAAACCACUGUGCAAUUUUGGGACAUUAAGCCCCUACAAUGUAUGUUUCCUUUACUUGAAGGCAACCUCGACCAAGGUAGUUGCACAAUAAAUUAUUUUUAUCUCGUA
rnacentral:lncRNA from 1 species